GAUGAACGCUGGCGGCGUGCCUAAUACAUGCAAGUCGAGCGAACUGAUGAGGAGCUUGCUCCUCUGACGUUAGCGGCGGACGGGUGAGUAACACGUGGAUAACCUACCUAUAAGACUGGGAUAACUUCGGGAAACCGGAGCUAAUACCGGAUAAUAUAUUGAACCGCAUGGUUCAAUAGUGAAAGACGGUUUUGCUGUCACUUAUAGAUGGAUCCGCGCCGCAUUAGCUAGUUGGUAAGGUAACGGCUUACCAAGGCAACGAUGCGUAGCCGACCUGAGAGGGUGAUCGGCCACACUGGAACUGAGACACGGUCCAGACUCCUACGGGAGGCAGCAGUAGGGAAUCUUCCGCAAUGGGCGAAAGCCUGACGGAGCAACGCCGCGUGAGUGAUGAAGGUCUUCGGAUCGUAAAACUCUGUUAUUAGGGAAGAACAAAUGUGUAAGUAACUAUGCACGUCUUGACGGUACCUAAUCAGAAAGCCACGGCUAACUACGUG
rnacentral:rRNA from 1 species